AUUUUAGAAUAAUAAUUCUUGAAUAAGAAAGUCAUGCAUAGUUAAAUUACGCAUUCUCAUUGAAUUGAGAAAUUUUCUCGAGCAAUGUUUUAUUUUAUAUUCUUAUUAUUAAGGUCAAGCGCGAGAGUAAGAGCUACUCAAGGAGUCACAGUACCUUAGCAAAGCUUUGCUAUCAGGUUGAGCUGUGAUGGACGAUGAAGUGUUGCUGAGUGGAGCUUUUGUCGAACUUAGAAUAGGCUAAAAAAGGAUAUAUGUCUGCAUACAUGUAUCUCAGUUAUGUCUUCCGCUGCAAACGCUGAUUAUGGAAAGUUAUAACUAAGACAAAUGCCCUUUAUGCAGUAAUUCACGUUUUUUUUUCUCGAGUU